AGAGACCCUCAAGAGUCCCCUUGCUCCUUCUUCCAGGUGAGGACACAAGAAGGAGACUGUUAGGCUGUCAAUGAACCUGGAAGAGGGCUCUCACCAGACACCGAAUCUGACAACUUGAUCCUGGAUAUUCAGCCUGCAGAACUCAUUGGGACACACUUCUCACAGGGGUGAGUCUUCUGGAUGGAUGGACCCACCUGUGACAAAGCUUCUACAGAAACACUCUCCUCAGGUGUCUCUUCAUUCUCCAUUGUAUGACAACAAACUGAAAGAAGAGAAAUGCUGAUGGGUCAUGCUGACUGUGGUAAGAGAGUAUUAACCAUGUUUUGUUAAACUUUCUGUAUAAUAUGAUGUUUUGAUAUCUUAUAAAACCUUGAUGGCUCGGGAGAUAGCAGACUUGAACAACACUAUAGAUCAAAGGGACCUAACAGACAUGCCAUAAAAUCAUGCCAAGUAGCUUUUCUGAC